UAUUAUUUCAAUAAAUAGCAAUGAAAUAGUUUGUUAAUUAAUGAAUGUGAUACAUGUUUAUACAUCAAAAUUAUUAAUGAACUUAAUGUAAAAACUUAGUUGAAAGCUGUUUUUGAAACAAUGAUCAUAAUAUAUUUCAGGAGUGGCUGCUAUAAUGCAGCAUGAAAAUCCCCACAUGGUUAAUGUGAACUGUGUUGCCCAUAGGCUUGCUCUAUGUACCUCUCAAGCUGCUGCUAAAAUUCCAUAUAUGCAGAAACACCAACAGAUACUGACAGAUCUAUUCUACUAUUUCAAGGGAAGCAGUAAGCGUGAAAUGAGACUUAAACAAAUCCAGGACAUUUUGGAUGACCCAUGCCUCACAAUCAAGGAAAUCCAUUCAGUAAGAUGGUUGUCAUAUUUCAACGCUCUCACAACUGUGUUCUGAACCCUGGAUAGUGUCCUUGCUGAGCUCCAUUCAACAGGCAAAGAUCCCAAAGCUAGUGGUUUGAAGAAAAAGAUGGCCACCGACAAUUUUAUCGAAACAACAUAUAUGCUCAUGGAUGCAAUGGCUCCAGUAACAAUAUUGUCACAGUUUUUUCAAACAGAAAAUGUUGACGUUGCACUUGUGAAGAUAAUAUUAUUAAUUCAUUCGUCCCUCAAAUAAUUUUCAGCAGGCGGCUUACAAUUAGCUCUUUUAAAUUGAAGAUAAGAAUGCAGAUCUCCUGCUUUGUUUAAUAUAAGCCUUUUAAAAAAUUGUCACAAAAGGCAAAAAAAGUUCAAUGUAGUCAUGUGUUGUCUCCUUUGAAAUGCGAAGAUACGUAUUCAGGCACCACAUGUAAAAAAACAAUGAACAAAAUCCUUUGUAUUCAAUUUAAUAAAAGUUGAAUGUCUUAAAAGAUUUAACUUUUCAUGCAAAUUAUUGCUGUCGAUCAAUAAAAAAUAUAUAAGGAAACUAAUGAACAUGCCAUUUUUGGUAGGUCAAGUUAGAUCUCUGUGUAGCCGACCUGAUGAAAGUGAAAGCCAUGGAAUCUCCCCACUGUAAACUGCUCCAGGAACAUCUUCAACCCUCGAAAUUUAAGGGCCAGCAUGAUAUUACAUCCACAAACUUCAACCUAAAGAAUCUGACAGCAACAUGUAUUGAUGCUCUCAUUGACAACAUUCUGACAAGGUUUCCCUAAACUGAUCUCCUCACAGCUUUCAGUGUUUGGGGAAUGAGGCCAAUAACACUUCUGUCAAACCAGGAAUUGGAGGAAUAUGGUGAAAGAGAAAUUAAAAAACUUUGUAAGUUCUAUUGACAUACCCAAACUGUGAAUUGGAAGGAUGAUGACAAGGAGUCGAUGAGAAGUCUUCUGGGCCUAUAGUGAAUGAAGAUCAAACAAAACAAGAAUGGCAACUUUUAAAGCAAGUUGUAAAAGCAGAGCAGUACCCAAGAGACAGUUUGUGGAAAUUGUGGAACAUGAUUUCUAUGUACAAUACACCUGAGUUUCCAAACAUGCUAGUUCUGGAUAGGCUUGCCCUGACAUCUGCUGUUCAUACUGCAGGAUGUGAGAGGGGUUUUUAUGUGCAGAAUAAGGUCUUGACCAAAUUCAGGAACAGGUUAACUGUAGAGAAACAAGACAAACUCAUGAGAGUGAAGUUAUGCAAUUUUCCCCAAAAUGAAUUUGUGGAAAAAGCUCUCCUGGUUUGGAGAAAAAACAAGGCAAGAAGGCUAUACACCUUAAAUACAGUAUGAUACAGUUAACCUGUUCCUGAAUUUGGUCAAGACCUUACUGUAUGAGUGUUGUUACACUAAAUCUCGUUAUCUGUAUUGAAGGUGUAAGAGGAGAAAUUGUCUGUUUGAAAGGGCUUAUUUUGGCAAAAAAAUAAAUAUAAACACUAGUCAUGAUCAUCCAAUAUAUUAAAACUCUAGUCAGAAAUUGUUAAAGAUGUUAAAAGUUCUC